rnacentral:rRNA from 1 species
AUGGAGCUGGUUGGAGAAGAUGAGGUAGUAUCUGAUGAAGAAACAGAAGAUCAUGACAUUGUGUUUGAAUCUGAGCAACUAAAUCUGGAGGUGCAAUACGACUCAAACUUCCCUGCUUUGAGAGCUGCCAAUGAAAGCAAGAAAUGGGGGCCGGUUCAGGCGGCUAGAAUGAGCUCUAGGAUUGCUGGGGACAAAAGAACCAUCAUGGAAAAAGCCCAACAACUUAAGAAGGUUCAGAACCUGGAGGUCCACAAAACUCAUGAUGCCGGAGCCCAGGAACCAGACGCCACCGUCGACGACGACUCCUACUACACCGGAGGUGCCUACUACUACGUGCAGGCCGCUGACGACGACCAGGAGUAG